CGCUUCGACGGGAUCCCAGCCAUGGCGGCGCGGCAGUGACAGUAUGGAGUGAAUUCAUUGAGCUAGAACUUAUCCUUAGAAUCGUUAGUUAACUUUAAAAAUACAAAAUUUGACUAUCUGUGAUGAAACUGAUUCAAUGAAAACUGGUAAGAUGAUGGUGUGUUCCUCAGGAGCAGACUGUGUGAAGGGAAAAGUGUGUUGCCGUACAUGGGAAGCUGCUGCCAUCCCCAUGAGCACAACAGCUGGCCGCCGCGCACUCCAUGGGAGGUGAGGGAGGGAAGCAGAAGAAAUAUCAACAUGGUGACGUGAUGCCUUGGCAGUACAUUCGCCCGCCAGAGGCGCUGACUCAACACAUGGGAGGCAAGGUUUCAUUUCGUCACGUGGAGUGUCUCCGUGAUGCUAGCCAUCUUUAAGACUAGUUGUCCAGCAGAAUGAAGUGAUGUCUCCUGCUGUUGGCAGCACUGCCAUCAAGUGGACACGGCUGUCAGAGAGUAUGAGCGUGCAGGCUGUUCUCUGCUUGCCAGUUCACCAUCGCGUGAACACAACAGCCUGCAAGUGUCGUGAGAAACUGUCGUCAAUGCAAACCAGUGUCGCAGUGUGGCAGUUACUCUCAAGAGUGGAGCACGUGGUGUUAGCAGAAGACAUUUCAGUUGAUACUUGUAUAUGAAGAGAAUCUCAUCGCGUGAGAACACGAAAGGAAAGAAAACAGAAAUAAAAGAGAAAUUCCAAGUGAGCUGAUGGGACGGAGUUUGAAUAUGGCGCAUUUUUAUGAACCAGGUAUGUAUUUGUUUCUUUUCAUUAUAGUUUAUUUAUUCACUGAAACAACAGCACCUCUCAUAAUUUUGUCGAUAUUUCUACAGAUGAUAAAUUUUGUAAUUCAAAGCAUAAAAUGUCCUGUAAGCAUAUAUUUCUUAGUACUGAUGGGUUAUUCAGUGUUCCCAUAUUCAUCAAUAAAACCAGUUUAUUUUCACAUUAUGAUGAAUUAAUUUGUUCCAACUGAAGUUGAUGUGGUUGAAAUAGAUUCGUAAAGAGAUAACAAGUAGCUAUGAAUAAGUAUAAUGCAAAUUAAUGAACAACCAGACUGUUACUCUAUACUAGGCUUUUGACUCAAUUGUUAAUUAUAUUCAUCUUCCUGUCACGUCCUCUAACCAUCGGCACUGAAUGGCUGCUGAGAAUAUGUAUAACGUGUAGCAACAUCUACAUUGAAAAAAGGCUGACACUUACUCUUAGAGAGACUCCACACAAAGGGUUGCAGAUCACUUAUCUAUAUUUACUACGUAUCCGUAUUACUUAUACUUAUGCGUGUUAUGUGUUACGCGAGUCAGCAGACGAAGAGAAUCACAACAGAUAACUGGAAAGUCACAACAGGUAACCGGGAAGUCAGCACCGCCGGGACAACGCUGUUAACGGGAUGAAGACACACGUAUAAUUAUGGUGAAGAAAUUUUGGCAGUGGUUUUAAUGUAAUACUUAGGAUAAAGAUGUUGAAAAUGUGCAAGAGUGUUCUUUUAUGUGUCUGGUGCUCGGAAGAAAUUUUAUAAAGCCCUGAGAGUGGAGGUAUCAGCCUCAUAAACAUCAACUGUAACACUGAAGAUAAUAAUAGAAAUGGCAUUAAUAAUGAUUAUAUUUGUGGUUGAUGCUUGUUGUUGAUAUUUUGUGGUGGUGUGACUCUCCUCACACUAUCAAUGAAAAUGGCGCGCGCGCACGUGUGUGUGUGUGUGUGUGUGUGUGUGUGUGCGUGUGUGUAAGGAGGAUGUGUAAUGUAAGCUUUCAUUUUCAUUUUGGGAACAAACUUAUUCGAGCACAAGCAAGCGGUCAAGUGCUGCUCGUGGAUCAGACUUGUUUUCGUGGGCGACUUAAGUGCAGCUACCGGCGCUGAGACAGACUUGUACAAGUUAUGUGUUGAUCACCUUAGGUCUGGUACAGGGAACUUCAAUAAUUCUGUCUUUCCAAACCUUGCAUACUCCAGAAAGCUGAGAAUUACUGGUUCAUAUUACAAGAUGUGGAAUGCUAAAGUGAACAGAAUCUAGCGAUGUCACAAAGUACGUGAAAAAACCUGUUACUUAUUCAUACUAGCCAGUGCGUCCUUCAAGAGUUGGACUUACCAUAGCCGUGAGCUUUUUUUUUUUUUUUUUUUUUUGCAAUCUGUCAGGCUUACUGCAGCAUUGCAUUAACACAAAGAAAUAUGAAGAUUAAAAAAAAAUUUAUAUAGAGUAUUGAUACAGCCACGCUGAUGUAGUGGUAAUGGGAUUGCGUCAGGGAACACUGUGUUGCAUGGUCCUGUUGUGCUGGGCCAAUUAUAUCAGACAAUGAUUUACGUGGGAUUAGGGCUCUUGUGGAGUCAGGCAGAGUGACACGUCAGAGGAAUCAAUGAAAACGUAAAGGGUCAUUUUAAUACAAAUUACAUUCACUUGCUCAUUAAACUGUGAGGAAGCCUCGAUGGCCGGACAACUAAUGGCUGCUUCGGUUCAGUUGCUAAUUAAUAAAGGAUUCAUGGGAGCGAGUACUUAAAGCAGCUGUGCGUUGCUGCUCCAUUCAGUGAAUGUCUGGCCCUGGCUGGUGUGCAGAUGGAGGCUACUGAUUCCCCAGUUUAAUGAAAUUCAUCCUCUCUUUCCGAGGUUAGGUAGAUUUAGUGAUGUGGAAGGGAGUGAAGGAUUCUGAUAUUUGUAAAGGGAUGGAAACAAUGCUGAAAGUUGGAGACAAAGAUAAGUUGCGUGCAUUAUAUGUAACCUUAAUCAGUUUGUGUCGGGAUAGGUAAUAUGACUGUAUCAAUCUAGAGAGCAAAAGGGAGCUAAAAGUAACGCAGUAUUUACUAUGUACAGGACUAAUAACUUAAAAGCCUGAACGAUGUGGCUUCGUGACCAGUAAAUUGAUAACGGACCUCAGCGAGCAUUUUUACGGUAUUUUGCUAACUUGCGGAACAUCGAGGAUACUUGCAACUUACGUCAUUCUCAAGGAAGCUUUUUGAUUUUUUUGCAUCACACUUCAGUUUUGGGUGUUUAGUGAGAAUGUUAUGUCUCAUGUGUAGUAUAAAUAGUCUAAAAAAAGUAAUUAAGAUGAAAAAAAAAAUAACGUUGGGAAAGAUGGAUACAAAAUUUAUAUAUCUGUUAUGAACCAGCCCGUAUUCCAAGGAUUUGGCCACAAACAAGUCAGUUAGGUCUGUUUUGCAACUAACAAAGAUUUUCUCAGAGGCGGCCAGGGUCACCCAUGUUUCCUCGGCGCGUGGCGUGGGAAGAGCGUAAUGGUGGGUGAAGUUUAUGUACGUGCAGUUUGCUAUAAUAUGUAUACUUCCUGUGUAUCGUAUACAGGUUGACGUUAACGCUCCGAAUAUCAGACGCAUUAGCCUUAACAUUACUGGGGAACACUUGCAUGAUAUGCGUGUGCUACAAUAUGCACACGUGACAAUGAGUACGUAUAAUACCUAUUGUAAAAUGCACUUUACAGCAUUACAGGCUUCUGUUACAUUAACUAAAUUGGAAGAGGUGGCGUAGAGAACUUCAUUGAAUUAAAUACAGAUUGUUGCUCCCUAAAAUUGUUUGCUGAACACAUUGUCAGGGAGGAAAACAGCAAUUAAGUUUAGGGAAAACUGAAGACGUCGCUGCUUUGGGCGUCACCAGUCGUGUGGCAGCUGGACCAACACAGCGACGCCGAGAUACAGUAAUAUUCCACUGUUGCCUUCAUAUUUCUUUUCUUAUUUCGCAUAAGGUUGAAUAUUGUAUUGGUAGACUAUAUAAGAUCUUCAAGACAUGGCUAUUAACGCAAGCGUUGUGAAACUUUUGUCCCUAGACGAUAAUUAUCGAGAAAUUAAAAACUGGCCUUUUUAAGCAAGGAUGUAAGACAUUACAUAGCUCUUCUUAGCUAAUUACUAUCUUUCAUGGGUACACAGUAGGAAAUUCGGGCCGGGUUUGUUACUUACUCUUCGCAGCCUCUCUAGACACAUUGAAUCCUGUAGCACACAAUUCUUUUGUUGUCGCUUCGAUGGUGUGUGGAGCAGAUAUAUGCUAUGCUUAGAACAUAAACAUUAAACACUCACCUUGUAGUUGUAUGGUGAAAUCACAACAUCUAUUGCUUUGCUUUAUGGUUUAUCGAGGAGUAUAAAACGGUAUCUUGAAAUAUCUGCCCACGUGUGUCUUCCAGUAAUUAUCCUCGUGAAGUGAUUAAGUCACGCAGAAUGUGUUGAAGUCGGUGAUUAAUUCGCCAAGGAAAUCUUAUCGGUACAUAAUAUUUACAGUAAAAUUGAUGUGCAGUCUGUAAUAGCAUCAUGAAAUCCCCCAUGAAGGUGUUCAGAACGGAAAUUGCUGCACUUCCAAACAAGCUGCAUAUUUCUUGUCCUUAGUUUGCUGGAGCUUCAUAGAAUAUUAUAUAACUUUCUGUAACCAUAUUACGAGUUAAUGAUGGUGCACAGCAGCGAGGCAGGUAAAGGCACAGUUGGGAUACAAACAAGUCGCAGCUCAGAAUUUUUCAUUCGGUAUAGAGACCUCACUUCUUAACGCGACUGUACAUACUGUACAUACGUCAGUUAGUCAGCCAAUCAGUGACUUGAGGACGUGGGUGGAAAAUUCUAAGGGAGCUGUGGCAUAUUCAUCGCUCACUGCCCACACAGGGAGGCAGUAUAUCCCCUCCCUCCCUUGCCACGGGAAAAUCUGCCUCACACUUCUCUAUGCUGGCUCCUCUUUCUAGAUUAAGUUCCGACUCCUGUUUCAUUUUUUGCUAGACUGGAUUGUUGUUUUCUCUUAUUUUAGCUUCAGAGAUAUAGCCAGUAGACAAGCAAUCAGUCAGUCAAACGAUCAAUCAAUAGAUCAAUCAAUUACUAAAUCGAUCUAUCAAUCAAUCAGUAAUUUAGUUAAUCAGUUAAUCAAGCGGUUGCCCAAUCAGUCUGUCAGUCAAGCAGUCGUUCAUCUAGUCAGUCAGUCAAGAGUCGUUCAUUUAGCCAGUAAGUCAAAUGAGUAAGUUAACUUUAAGUAGUCCUCGUGGUACUCUUGUUCGCUCUGCCUGGAAACAGUAGCUGCUGUUGAGUUGCAGAACUGAGCUGCGCCACACACUCCCUCCCUCGGCCAGGCUGCAACUGUCACGUGGUGCCAGCGGGAUUGACCGGCUGGCGCACAAACCGUAUUGAUUGACUCGCUAGGGGUGUCUAUAGUUAACUCUGCUUGCAUGCUGUGUCUCCAGGACAUGACGCCACUAAGAGGAAAUUUAUACUUCUUAUUAAAACAACGCUUCUUGUUUCAUAUUUCAAUAAUCAAACAUCGUUGUGUUUAUAAAGACUUGUUUUGUAAUAUUUUAGGCACUAACUUUGUUUCUCGCCACCAGAAAAAUAAUAACAUCUCAUUGUCCUCUUUUUGCUGAGAAUUAAACUUGUAUUAUGUGUUACAUAUUUUCCUUUCUGUUUUAUCUUCAUUUUUGCUCGUCACUUCAGAUUUUAGACACAGUGGAAUAAUAACGUCCCAUUAUCCUGGGCCUCAGCAAUAAGCCGCGUCGCUGCAGUAAAAAGUGAAUGUGUGAGUUUUGCGUGUGUGUAGCGUAUCAUUGCUGACCACACUGUGAUUAACCGUAAUGUAUCAUGGGUUGUUUAAUCAGUAUUGGUGCAAGGUAAAUGUAGUUUUGGCCUCUGAGAUACAACUCUGUCAUACAGUGAGCGACGCUUUA